UACGUAGGGUGCGAGCGUUGUCCGGAAUUAUUGGGCGUAAAGGGCUCGUAGGCGGUUUGUCGCGUCGGGAGUGAAAAUCCAGGGCUUAACUCUGGACUGGCUUCCGAUACGGGCAGACUAGAGGUAUGCAGGGGAGAACGGAAUUCCUGGUGUAGCGGUGAAAUGCGCAGAUAUCAGGAAGAACACCCGUGGCGAAGGCGGCUCUCUGGGACGGUACUGACGCUGAGACGCGAAAGCGUGGGGAGCGAACAGG
rnacentral:rRNA from 1 species